rnacentral:lncRNA from 1 species
GGGACACUGGCAGAGUUCAAGUAAGGGGUCAGAAUUUAGGUUCUCUGUGACCUGCAAAUCCACCAAACAGGCAAGUCGUGAAGACUCCACUAGUCUUUUCCCACCCACCUUUCAGUAGUUCUCAGGUUCCCACUGCACACUGAAGGAUGACAUACUCUUUGAAAGAAAUUAAAUUUCCUCAUUUUUCAAGGCUUCUGCCCUGAGGACAGGGGACUUUGCAGAAAAAGGACUAGUUCCCCUUCUACAUGUUCCUGGCAUGAAUCCUCAGGAAACAAUGUAGUUGGAAGCUGGGCCCACAAGACAGACUGACUGAUUUAACCUGGAAACAUCCUGAGAGAGAGAAGCUCCUGAGUAGUUCUCACUGUGCUGAAAGAAGUGAGAGCUCCGGGGCGCAGGCUGGGGUAGAGGAGAAAAGCUGCCAAGAACUGCGUGCACUUGCCUCGUGCUCCACCAGUGCGUCCCCACUACCGACAGGUGCUUCUGCACUGUCUAAUUCUCUUUCCACUUUGACUACCCCACCAUCUUCCUCUGAUGUGUGGGAAGAUACUUCAUCUUGUGUGGUCUCCUCUUCGUCACCUUCACUGUCACCUGGAACACAUAAACUGGUCACUUGUUCUGAUUUUAUAUGAAUAUAUCCUGAGCUGCUGUCCACUUAAGAGUUUGCAGCUAUAAUAAAACAUAUUUUCAGAC